UACGAAGGGGGCUAGCGUUGUUCGGAAUUACUGGGCGUAAAGGGCGCGUAGGCGGCGUGUCAAGUCAGGCGUGAAAGCCCCGGGCUCAACCUGGGAACCGCGCUUGAGACUGGCAUGCUCGAGUUCGGGAGAGGAUGGUGGAAUUCCCAGUGUAGAGGUGAAAUUCGUAGAUAUUGGGAAGAACACCGAUGGCGAAGGCAGCCAUCUGGACCGACACUGACGCUGAGGCGCGGAAAGCGUGGGGGAGCAAACAGG
rnacentral:rRNA from 1 species